GUCUCUUUGGUACGGUGAUUGACUUCUUUUUUCCUCUGUAUGUGCAGGUGCUGAUCAUUGCUACGUGUUGGUGUACCUCGACAAGCUCACCCAGGGAGGGCACCCCCAAGCUCAACUCCAUGGAGCCAUGCUUCAGCGUCAAGGACAGGUUUUUGUUUCUGCAUCCCUUACCAUGACAUGAUUUCUUCUGUUCUUUCUCGAUUUGAGCUCAAUUUUUGUGAUAUCCUUCUGGUGCAGCAGCAGGAUUCCGUUGGUACAACAGAGGACAAUGGGUUAUCUAGGUGCGUGGUGGUAGGCUAUUCCGUUGGACCUGCUGCAUGUUCAUCAUCGGCUGCAUAACAGCCAUGAACCAACUCGCCUGUCCUUUUAUUUGUGGUAUUGAUGGCCAUGGACCACAGUUCCAGUAGUCGGCAAAAUCAAGUAUAUAGUAACUGCUCCUAUCCAGUAUGCAUGCAAAGGUGCUGACCAUUGGUUCGUAUUGGUGUACCUCGACAAGCUCACCCAGGGAGGACACCCCCAAGUUCAACUCCAUGGAGCCCUGCUCCAGCGUCAAGGACAGCAACAGGAUUCCAUCGGUACAGGUGAGGACAACGUGUUCAUCGAGUUGCGCGGUGGUAGGCUCUUCCGUUGGACCCAUUGCCUGUUCGGCAUCGGUUGCAUAACAGCAUGGGAGGUGGCGAUCAGUCGGACACGGGGGGGCAGUCGGUGCCGUGGAGGUGAUGCUCAUGCAGUGGGUCUCAGCCCUGUUUAAAGGACUUAGAUGGCCGAAUUUGCGGAGGAACCCUUAAAUAGGAAUGGUGUGUAAUGUUCUUAGCUUCGUGUAGAGUACUUAUUUAUUGCAAUCAGAGUAAUGAUCUGUUCUCUGUAGCCAAAAUUCUGCACUGUUUUGUUUCAGUUUUCCUUGUCAAGAUAGUCCAUGUGUGUGUGAUGUGCUCAUGUGAGCUAUCUUACAGGAAUUACCAUGUAUGUGUGGUGCAAAUGUGUUCUGCAUAUUAUACCCAUGUUGGAUUUUUAGUGAAGCAUGGUACACUUGCUCUAUUUACAUAUACACUGGCCAUGGCGGUAGGCUCUUCCGUCGGACCCGCUGCCUGUUCAGCAUCGGCUAUAUAACAGCCAUGAUGGGCACCU